rfam:Schistosoma mattheei strain Denwood, Zambia genome assembly, scaffold: SMTD_scaffold0007791
AUCCAACUGAUGAGUCCCAAUCAGGACGAAGCGCACGUCAUGGAU